GAUGAAGAACGUAGCGAAAUGCGAUAAGUAAUGUGAAUUGCAGAAUUCAGUGAAUCAUCGAAUCUUUGAACGCACAUUGCGCCCGCCAGUAUUCUGGCGGGCAUGCCUGUUCGAGCGUCAUUACAACCCUCAGGCCCCCGGGCCUGGCGUUGGGGAUCGGCGGAAGCCCCCUGCGGGCACAACGCCGUCCCCCAAAUACAGUGGCGGUCCCGCCGCAGCUUCCACUGCGUAGUAGCUAACACCUCGCAACUGGAGAGCGGCGCGGCCACGCCGUAAAACACCCAACUUCUGAAUGUUGACCUCGAAUCAGGUAGGAAUACCCGCUGAACUUAAGCAUAACAAUAAGCGGAGGA
rnacentral:misc_RNA from 1 species